rnacentral:rRNA from 1 species
GAUGAACGCUGGCGGCGUGCCUAAUACAUGCAAGUCGAGCGAACAGACGAGGAGCUUGCUCCUCUGACGUUAGCGGCGGACGGGUGAGUACACGUGGAUAACCUACCUAUAAGACUGGGAUAACUUCGGGAAACCGGAGCUAAUACCGGAUAAUAUAUUUAACCGCAUGGUUCAAUAGUGAAAGACGGUUUUGCUGUCACUUAUAGAUGGAUCCGCGCCGCAUUAGCUAGUUGGUAAGGUAACGGCUUACCAAGGCAACGAUGCGUAGCCGACCUGAGAGGGUGAUCGGCCACACUGGAACUGAGACACGGUCCAGACUCCUACGGGAGGCAGCAGUAGGGAAUCUUCCGCAAAGGGCGAAAGCCUGACGGAGCAACGCCGCGUGAGUGAUGAAGGUCUUCGGAUCGUAAAACUCUGUUAUUAGGGAAGAACAAAUGUGUAAGUAACUAUGCACGUCUUGACGGUACCUAAUCAGAAAGCCACGGCUAACUACGUG